rnacentral:sRNA from 1 species
UUGAGGAAGUAAAAGUCGUAACAAGGUCUCCGUAGGUGAACCUGCGGAGGGAUCAUUACACAAAUAUGAAGGCGGGCUGGAACCUCUCGGGGUUACAGCCUUGCUGAAUUAUUCACCCUUGUCUUUUGCGUACUUCUUGUUUCCUUGGUGGGUUCGCCCACCACUAGGACAAACAUAAACCUUUUGUAAUUGCAAUCAGCGUCAGUAACAAAUUAAUAAUUACAACUUUCAACAACGGAUCUCUUGGUUCUGGCAUCGAUGAAGAACGCAGCGAAAUGCGAUAAGUAGUGUGAAUUGCAGAAUUCAGUGAAUCAUCGAAUCUUUGAACGCACAUUGCGCCCUUUGGUAUUCCAAAGGGCAUGCCUGUUCGAGCGUCAUUUGUACCCUCAAGCUUUGCUUGGUGUUGGGCGUCUUGUCUCUAGCUUUGCUGGAGACUCGCCUUAAAGUAAUUGGCAGCCGGCCUACUGGUUUCGGAGCGCAGCACAAGUCGCACUCUCUAUCAGCAAAGGUCUAGCAUCCAUUAAGCCUUUUUUUCAACUUUUGACCUCGGAUCAGGUAGGGAUACCCGCUGAACUUAAGCAUAUCAAAGCCGCGGGAGGA